GGAGAGGUAGGCAAAUCCGCCACUCUAGCUGAACGUCGAUAGUACCGCGAGCCUUCGGGUAAGUGGAUAGCGCAGGUAAUCAGACUUCCAAGAAAAACCGCUAAGCUUCAGGUUAUAAAAACCCGUACCGCAAACCGACACAGGUAUCCGGGAAGAGAAUUCUAAGGUGCUCGAGUGAAUCAUGGCUAAGGAACUCGGCAAAAUGGCCCUGUAACUUCGGGAGAAGGGGCGCUGGUAGCAAUAUCAGCCGCAGUGAAAAGGCCCAGGCGACUGUUUAACAAAAACACAUGGCUUUGCAAAAUCGAAAGAUGAAGUAUAAGGCCUGACACCUGCCCGG
rnacentral:rRNA from 1 species